rnacentral:rRNA from 1 species
UUGAACGCUGGCGGCAUGCUUUACACAUGCAAGUCGAACGGCAGCGGGGGCUUCGGCCCGCCGGCGAGUGGCGAACGGGUGAGUAAUGCAUCGGAACGUACCCAGUCGUGGGGGAUAACUACGCGAAAGCGUAGCUAAUACCGCAUACGCCCUGAGGGGGAAAGCGGGGGACCUUCGGGCCUCGCGCGAUUGGAGCGGCUGAUGUCGGAUUAGCUAGUUGGUGGGGUAAAGGCCUACCAAGGCGACGAUCCGUAGCUGGUCUGAGAGGAUGAUCAGCCACACUGGGACUGAGACACGGCCCAGACUCCUACGGGAGGCAGCAGUGGGGAAUUUUGGACAAUGGGGGAAACCCUGAUCCAGCCAUUCCGCGUGAGUGAAGAAGGCCUUCGGGUUGUAAAGCUCUUUCGGCAGGAACGAAACGGUAAGGGCUAAUAUCCUUUGCUAAUGACGGUACCUGAAGAAGAAGCACCGGCUAACUACGU